GGGUAGGCGGCGAAGUCGGAGAGUCGCGGCGGACUGUAAAUCCGUUCCUUAUAGGUGAGUGGGUUCGACUCCCACCCUGCCCACCA
rnacentral:tRNA from 1 species